GGAGGCAGCAGUGGGGAAUUUUCCGCAAUGGGCGAAAGCCUGACGGAGCAAUACCGCGUGAGGGAGGAAGGCUCUUGGGUUGUAAACCUCUUUUCUCAGGGAAGAACAGAAUGACGGUACCUGAGGAAUAAGCAUCGGCUAACUCCGUGCCAGCAGCCGCGGUAAUACGGAGGAUGCAAGCGUUAUCCGGAAUGAUUGGGCGUAAAGGGUCCGCAGGUGGCAUUGUAAGUCUGCUGUUAAAGAGUUUGGCUCAACCAAAUAAAAGCAGUGGAAACUACAAAGCUAGAGUGUGGUCGGGGCAGAGGGAAUUCCUGGUGUAGCGGUGAAAUGCGUAGAUAUCAGGAAGAACACCGGUGGCGAAGGCGCUCUGCUAGGCCAAGACUGACACUGAGGGACGAAAGCUAGGGGAGCGAAUGGGAUUAGAUACCCCAGUAGUCCUAGCCGUAAACGAUGGAUACUAGGCGUAGCUCGUAUCGACC
rnacentral:rRNA from 1 species